rnacentral:rRNA from 1 species
GGAAUUGACGGGAGAGCACAGCAACGGGAGGAGCGUGCGGUUCAAUUGGAUUCAACGCCGGAAAACUCACCGGGAGCGACGAUUACAUGAAGGUCAGGCCGAUGACUUUGCCGGAUUAGCUGAGAGGUGGUGCAUGGCCGUCGUCAGUUCGUACUGUGAAGCAUCCUGUUAAGUCAGGCAACGAGCGAGACCCACGCCCACAGUUGCCAGCGUACUCUCUGGAGUGACGGGUACACUGUGGGGACCGCCGCUGCUAAAGCGGAGGAAGGAAUGGGCAACGGUAGGUCAGUAUGCCCCGAAUAUCCCGGGCUACAUGCGAGCUACAAUGGUUGGUACAAUGGGUAUCUACCCCGAAAGGGGAUGGAAAUCUCCUAAAGCCAAUCUUAGUCCGGAUUGAGGGCUGCAACUCGCCCCCAUGAAGCCGGAAUCCGUAGUAAUCGCGUUUCAACAGAACGCGGUGAAUACGUCCCUGCUCCUU